UCGGAUUUAUCAAGCUUAAUCUGUCAUGUUUAAAUUGAAUUUUCAUGUUUAAAACCUGUUUUUCUCUUGUGUUAAAUUGAGCUUAGCAAGAGACUAGUUCAAUUAAAUUUUGUUCUCUUUUGCCUCAAUCUAGCUUAAUAUUAUUCUUGUGGCCAAUAUACUUAAGAUUUCUUUAGAUCUUUUUUUGUUGAAGGUGCAAAAGGAAAGAAAGCCAUCCAAAAGCUAGAUGAGAAGAAGAGAACCAGAUGGAUCAUUCUAGCUUGACUCAAGGAAGAUCAAUUCAUGGUGGUGACCGAGAGGGAAAAGGCCCUCAAGCGAGUACACACACGGAGGAUUAGAGUCUCAACAAGAAGUCAAAGCAAGAAGCCAAAGAGAUCUCACAUUCAAACCAUGGUCAUAGCUACAUAAUUCAACCGUGAAGACUAUACUCUUUUCCCCUUAACAAAGUUUUGUCCCAUGAGGUUUUCUUUGUUAAGGUUUUUAAUGAGGUAGUUAUUUGCGUGUUGCAAGCUUGGCCUUUGGUUCCCGCUGCCCAAGCUUGAGGUUAGAGAGGAAGAAGAGAAAGGAGAACCUAAGGCCGAAGUCUAGAAGACGAGGCCGAGCUUAAUGGUGUUCAAUGAAGUGUGACACUCAACUAGGCUCGUUUAUCUUUAAGCUUAACCUCCCAUGUCUCUACACUUAAGCUUGAGGGGGAGUCUUAAGUAUGUCAAGAUAGAAUAGACCAUUAUGUUCUACUUUAUAUUGGUCUAUUCUAUAUUGACUAAGUUAGGAUAGUAUAGACCAUUAGGCUCGUCUCUA
rnacentral:lncRNA from 1 species